rnacentral:rRNA from 1 species
GAGUUUGAUUCUGGCUCAGGACGAACGCUGGCGGCGUGCGUAACACAUGCAAGUCGAACGAGAGAGUGAGAGAAGCUUGCUUUUCUUACGAUCGAGUGGCAAACGGGUGAGUAACGCGUAAACAACCUGCCCCGCAGAUGGGGACAACAGCUGGAAACGGCUGCUAAUACCGAAUACGGUCCUCUUAGCGCAUGGUAAGAGGAAGAAAGGGUGGCCUCUGGAACAAGCUACCGCUGCGGGAGGGGUUUGCGUCUGAUUAGCUGGUUGGAGGGGUAACGGCCCACCAAGGCGACGAUCAGUAGCCGGUCCGAGAGGAUGAACGGCCACAUUGGAACUGAGACACGGUCCAGACUCCUACGGGAGGCAGCAGUGGGGAAUCUUCCGCAAUGGGCGAAAGCCUGACGGAGCAACGCCGCGUGAGUGAAGACGGCCUUCGGGUUGUAAAGCUCUGUUAUAGGGGACGAACGGCCGAGUAGCGAAGAG